UACGUAGGGAGCAAGCGUUGUCCGGAAUCAUUGGGCGUAAAGCGCGCGUAGGUGGCUCUGUAAGUCCGCUCUGAAAGUCGAAGGCUCAACCUUCGAAAGCGGGUGGAUACUGCAGGGCUAGAGUCCGGAAGAGGCGAGUGGAAUUCCUGGUGUAGCGGUGGAAUGCGCAGAUAUCAGGAGGAACACCAACGGCGAAGGCAGCUCGCUGGGACGGUACUGACACUGAGGCGCGAAAGCGUGGGGAGCAAACAGG
rnacentral:rRNA from 1 species